rnacentral:tRNA from 1 species
GUAAACGUAGCUUAAUUUAAAGUAUAACACUGAAGAUGUUAGGAUAGGCCCUAGAAAGCCUCGUGAACA